rnacentral:rRNA from 1 species
CAGCAGCCGCGGGAAAACGAGGGGAGCUAGCGUUAUUCGGAAUUACUGGGCGUAAAGCGCACGUAGGCGGCUUUGUAAGUUAGAGGUGAAAGCCCAGAGCUCAACUCUGGAAUUGCCUUUAAGACUGCAUCGCUUGAAUCCAGGAGAGGUGAGUGGAAUUCCGAGUGUAGAGGUGAAAUUCGUAGAUAUUCGGAAGAACACCAGUGGCGAAGGCGGCUCACUGGACUGGUAUUGACGCUGAGGUGCGAAAGCGUGGGGAGCAAACAGGAUUAGAUACCCCAGUAGUCCCUGUCUCUUAUAC